GCACUGCUGAGGAGUCCUAGAAUAGGAUAAAACGUUCGUCCAGUGC
rnacentral:hammerhead_ribozyme from 1 species